GUCGGCUUGGCUCGAAGCGGGCAAGGCAAGCACCGUUUAAUUGCUUCGAGCGAAUGCCCGGCCUCUUUCCGGGGCAAUAUUGGGAAAGAGAGAAGGCUACGACGUGCUGCCCGUCCGAAACGAUGGGCAUGCAUGGCAAGACAUUUUCACAGACGGAUAUUUUUCAUAAACAAGGUCAUUUGAGAGCCACUUUGGGGGUACCGCAAGGUACGCCCCAUUCUUGCUUCGGAGA
rnacentral:sRNA from 1 species